UAGAUAAGGGAAGUCAGCAAAAUAGAUCUGUAACUUCAGGAAAAGAAUUGACUCUAAGGCUUGGGGUUGAGCACAUUGUCCUUGGGUGGAGAUCUCUGGAGCAGGGGGGCACUAGCUGGACAACCAGUGGGCGCCUCUCAGCAUCAGGGUGUGGAUGCCUUUGGUGGGCUUCAGCCAUCUGGUAUGUGAUUAACAAUCAACCUAGAACUAAUACAUACUCAAGAGGCACUAGCGGCUGCCUGCUACAUAUUUA
rnacentral:ncRNA from 1 species